UUGAUUCCACUUAAAUGAGAGGAGAAGGGGUGGGGGUGGGGGAUGCUCACCCUAAACAUGCCAUCUUCUUUCCUGCUGCAAGCACAUUGCUGCAUGGGGCUGCACUGGGACAGAAGAAAGGUGGGCUUGUCCGAAUGGCAUGGGAAGGAGGGAAGCUAGGGCAGGCAAUGCUGCUUUGAGCAGGAUGCACCCCUUGGCGACCUCGGACCCACAGGCAGAUGCUGCUCCAUGGAGCCAUGUGACAUGCCCUAUUGUCACAGGCACUCCUGGUGCCCAAGAGCUGGCAGGGAGCUUCAUUGCAAUGAAAAUCCUAGAAUCACCCUGCCUGCCAAACCCACUCACCUGCCUGGCAGCUGGGGGGGAGAGGGAUGAUGAGGGGGAGACAUCAGCUCCUCUCCAUCUCUAAUGUAUCUCUCAUUAUCCCAGUUGACAAAACUUUGUGAUUUUGGAAUCUAUCCAGUCUCCUGCUGCUGGUGGAUGCUCACCCUUCCGGCAAGGACCUCCCAGUGCUCCCUCUGUGACCUGGCACACCACUCAGCCUCCCAUCAGUGGUAGCCACGACCUGGCACCACGGGCUGCGCACUGCCUGUGUGUGCUGAAACACAUCUUUAAUGUAGACAUUAACAUGAUUUCGUGUUAAUUACAUGCAAAUUGAUUAUUAGUAUAUUUAUUGAAUGUUGACAUCGGCAUGACAGUCUUCAAUAAAUAUGUUUUACUAAUCAGUUAGCAUUAAUUAAUAUUGAAAUCCUCUGUAGGUUUAGCAAGUCAGUGAACAUUGAUGAGGCCCCUCUGUUGCUGCCAGCGUUGCUGGAUGUUGGCAGUGUUGCUGGCAACAUUCAGCUGUUCCUGGCAGCAGCAUGGAGCACAAGUGGGCUCAGGAGGUCCAAGGGCAGUGGCAGUGCUGGAAGGACAGAUGGACACAUGCCCCGAGGGAGAAGCCUCUGGGAAACAUUGCUCUUGGGAGAACCCCCCAUGCAGCAGGGCCUGCCUGAGGGCAGGAGGGCAGCUUGAGCCAAGGUGGUAGUGGCCAGGCAGUGCUUGCAAGAAGCUCUGGAGAUCCCUUUCUCCAGGACACAGGGCUGCUUGCAGGUAUAUCUGAGCAGCAGAAGAAGGAUGCUGUUCUCACCUGCACGCAGGACCCUUGGUUAUGGCAGGGCAAUCCCCAGCCAGCAAUGCAGAGGAGUUCAUAUGAUGCAUUUAAACCACCAAGCAGACCAACUCCUAAGCUCCAUGGGCAGCAUUUUCUCUUGCCUCCCCAUCCUUAGCAGGGCAAGAGCCAUACAGUGCCUGCUGACUGUGGCUUCUCUGGCCCAUCACAAGAAGAUGAGCAGCAUCCCUGAGUAAAUGACCAAGGUAGCGGGGAGAGUGGCUCCACGCUGGGGUCAACACUUGAGUCUUGUCAUGCUAAUGCUCCUUGGUUGACAAUUAUGAUUCUUCCCUGCUUGUGCCUUGUGCAAACACCUUAGAGCUGGAACACCAAGAAAUGAAUAUGCUGAACACUUAGAGCUACUUCUGUUUAGACAGAUGGACAGGCUGUGGGGUGCCUGAGCCCCUUCUGCUCUGCUCUGAGGACAGCAGACACAGCGAAAAUGCCUGAAGAGCUCAACACGCAGCUGCAACAGGAGCUGGGUGUUUGGUUACUGGUCAGAAUAAUUUUGGUCUUGCUCAGCUGCUCUUUGCUUCCCUCACUGCAGGAGUCUGACACCCCUCCUGUGAGCAGAGGCAGGUGCCCCAGUCAGCAGGGUUUCUGCUUUCCCGAGCUGGACAUGUCUGCCUGCUGCGGGCAAGCAUGUCAAAUCACACCUACCAUAUUGGCUUCCUGUCCCCAGAACAUCAGAUUUUUGCAGCUAAUGUGUGGGGGGUGUCUCCUCCUGCCAAUCCCCACCCCCAGCAGCAUCAGGUCUGUGCUGUUCGGGGUUUUGUUAAGCCGUUUAGUAUUAAUUGAUUUUUUUUUUCCAUUUUUUCUUUCUUUCCCUGGGCGGGUCAAUAGCUGGAUGCUCAAGAGCAGAGGAUCUAUCAGCUGCAGACCAAGCAGAGGGAGAGGCAGGCAGACCUGGAGCAGAAAUGCAGCCAGAGCAGCAGCUCAGCCAGGACCUGGGGGCCAGCCACCAGCUACGGAAGGGAGCUUGGAGCAGCUUGUUCUAGGAGAAGACAGUGCAAUUUGGUGAUUGAUUCCUGGAGUCUGGUUGGUGCAUCCAUGCUGGGGUAUAGAGGCCACAGAUCCCGCGGUGCCUCCGGGAACACUCUGCCAGCCUCAGCCACCCACAGCCCGUGGGCUCCGGAAGCAGAAAUGGGCUCUUGCAUUCCAUCAAUCACAGCCCCAAGCCUAAUUCCUGAGGAGGAACAGAGCUACAGCAGCUGAGACUGCAGUGAGAUCUUGUGAGAAAGAUGGUGCAAAUGCCCCAGAUCUUCAGCAAGAUUAGGACCACCUGGCUGUGUCAUACCUUGUAGACUGGAGACAGCUGCUAAACAUCUGGAAAAAAGAAGAAAUUAUAUAAGGUCAGAAGACCUGGCCUCUUCCAGACAGAUCUACCCUCGAGUGUUUGCCCACCUGAGGGGCUGAGUAAUGCUGUGGAAUGCUGAUGUAGCCAGAUGAAUCAGUGCUGGCGUGAACUCCUAUCCAAGAGCACAAAUAGCAUCAUCAUCUUGUGAUCCUCCUUUGCAUUUCCUUCCUGCAGAUUCCCGGGGUGAGGAGGAAGGGGUUGGACUGCCUGACCUCCAGUACCUACAGUCAUGAAAAUUUCCCUGUUACUCUGAAAUCAGUAACUUUUCUGACUAUGAUAGCUUCAGACAGGCAUUUGGCUGGGCUUGAAGACAUCAAGGGAUGGCAAAUGCACGACA